AUUGAACGCUGGCGGCAGGCCUAACACAUGCAAGUCGAGCGAGCGGCGGACGGGUGAGUAAUGUCUGGGAAACUGCCUGAUGGAGGGGGAUAACUACUGUAAACGGUAGCUAAUACCGCAUACCAUCAGAUGUGCCCAGAUGGGAUUAGCUAGUAGGUGGGGUAACGGCUCACCUAGUGGACGCUCCCUAGCUGGUCUGAUAGGAGGACCAGCCACACUGGAACGGAGACACGGUCCAGACUCCUACGGGAGGCAGCAGUGGAGAAUAGUGAACAAUGGGCGCAAGCCUGAUGCAGCCAUGCCGCGGGUGUGAAGAAGGCCUUCGGGUGGUAAAGCACUUUCAGCGGGGAGGCGUUACCCGCAGAAGAAGCACCGGCUAACUCCGUGCCAGCAGGCGCGGUAAUUC
rnacentral:rRNA from 1 species